CAUGGGGGACCUGCACGUCUGUCCCAUCCCGGGGCAUGGCGUGACGCCCAUCGUGACCGGCAGCUUCGACAC
rfam:Geobacter sp. M18, complete genome.